rnacentral:misc_RNA from 1 species
UCUAAAGCUGCGAGUUUUGAUGCCUUUGUAGUUGCAACAUUUGCGAAUGGGUUGGUGGAUGUCGGAGAGGAUUUUGAUGGCUCGGUCGGUUGAGCAGUAGGGUUGGAAUCGACCAUUGGCUUGCUUGGGAUAGGUGGUGCUAUUGUCGGCGACACGAUAGGAGGUGCCACAGUGGAUUUUGGGGUCCCUAUAUCCCUUUUCAUAUGCAAUUCAAAAUCACCUACCUUUAACUUUAGCUCUACGAUUUCUGUUUCAUCACAGACUUCCAG